UGUGAUCCAUCCAAUAGCUGACUGUGAGCAUUGACUUCUUAAACACAGGGCAGAAGUUGUCUGCGCUUUCCUCGUCAUCAUUUGUUGUUCUUGUCCUGGUUGGGUGUUGCACUCAGGUGCUUCCCAAAGCUCAGUGGACAUAGAAUAUGUUCUUGCUAGCGAGCCUUACUGCCUCUCUUCUAUGUGUAGGUAUAAUUUUAAAUGAAGGGGUGUGCACCAAGCUUAGAUAUAGCUUAUUUCAUUGACACCAGUGUGGAACAUAGUCAAGGUCAUUUUAAUUAAAAUUCAGAAGAAUAUUCAUUGAACCCAAGGAUGUAAUAUUCAUAUGAUCUAUGUGAAAUUAUAUAUAUAAUGCUAACUUUAAAACUCAUUUUAUCAUUUUUCCACAAAUUAUUUGGUCACUUAGUUUUUUUUUUUUCCAGAACAUAAAAUGCUAUCUCCAAAAGUAUACCUAAGUAUUGAGUGACUCGAGUAAGCGAAGAUUUUUCUUAUUAAAUAUAUGCCUGUAUAUUUAUUAGUAUAGAAUUACAGGUUACAGCAAAUUCACUCAUUUAAGCUGUCUGAUUAGAGCUGUUGAAAUUACAUUUUAUUCAUAUUUGUAAUUUAAAAAGCUGUCUUACAUAAAAAGCAGGCUUUACUGAGCUCCAAAUAGUCUUUAAUCCUUCUCUGUCCAUCUGAUAUCUCAAACACAUUGUUUAGGAAUCAAUGCUGGAGCUUUAAAGUGCAAAUUAGGGUGUUUUCCACUGGAGGGACUUUCUUACAGACUCUAAAAGAGAGGCAUUCAUAAGCACAGGGUUUUUUUUCCAGUUAUAUAAUUCUAACAAGAGAUACCUAAAAAGGAACAAUCAGUCAAACAUACAGAGUUUAGUUUACAGUACAAAACUAUAAUAGAUGCAAAGCUUCUUAAGUAUAUGUGCCCAUCACAGAGAGCUCCUGAUGUCUGCCCAUUUCAAGGUAAUAAAGACUCAGUCGUAGCGCUAGCUACAUAAGCUAGGAAGGGGCUCAGUGGAAAAGAGAGAUAACAGUUGAAGAUGCCUUUAUGUCCUCUGGAACACUAAGUACAUUUGAAUGAUCAGAGAGGCCCCAGAAGCAGGCCGUCUUCAGAGGGUGUUUUUCUAAGGAGUUUGAACUAUGGGAUCCAAGAAACACAGGAAAGCCCCAGUGACUCUGAGAGCAAACCACAGCCACAGGAAAAUCCAGCCUCAAGAACCAACUGGUUUCACGUUUCAUUUGAAUUCAAAGUAAUAUAUGGAGAUCUGACAAUCUUACACUUGUCUGAUAAGUCUACACUAGCCAGCUUUAUGCUAGCAAAGAAAUUUAACAAAAUGGCAAUGUAUCUACAUAUGUGCUGGAGGUUUCAAUUGUUAUGAAGGAAAAUGACAGGUAGAUAUAAAAAAGACAUGAAUUUUUCUGGAUGUCAGCCCUGGUAAAGUUCAUUUCUUUAUAAAUCUUUUAGACAUCCUUGAUUUCCCUAGGUGACUAUUUUACGUAGCAGCAUGAAUUCCAGAAUUUUCUGUCAUGUAAUUUUUUUGCUAUAACUUUAUAAAUAUAUAGUGCAAUCUUCAAAGCCAAGACUACAUUCUUAAGUAAAUAAAUGUAUAUAAAACUUAAAGUAGAAACAUCUUUCUGAUGUUUCAUUUACACUUUCCCAUUUAGUGUCCUUCACUGUAGAGAGAUAGAGAGAGAAGAAGAUUAGCAAUCAGAAC
rnacentral:lncRNA from 1 species